AGAGUUUGAUUCUGGCUCAGGACGAACGCUGGCGGCACGCUUAACACAUGCAAGUCGAACGGAGGCAUUUGGUUACUGAGAUGUCUUAGUGGCGGACGGGUGAGUAACACGUGAGCAACCUGCCUUCAAGAGGGGGAUAGCUUCUGGAAACGGAUGGUAAUACCCUAUAACAUAGAGACACCGCAUGGUGAUUCUAUCAAAGAUUUAUCGCUUGAAGAUGGGCUCGCGUCUGAUUAGAUAGUUGGUGAGGUAACGGCUCACCAAGUCGACGAUCAGUAGCCGGACUGAGAGGUUGAACGGCCACAUUGGGACUGAGACACGGCCCAGACUCCUACGGGAGGCAGCAGUGGGGAAUAUUGCACAAUGGGGGAAACCCUGAAUGCAGCGAUGCCGCGUGGAGGAAGAAGGUUUUCGGAUUGUAAACUCCUGUCUUAAAGGACGAUAAUGACGGUACUUUAGGAGGAAGCUCCGGCUAACUACGUGCCAGCAGCCGC
rnacentral:rRNA from 1 species